UGAACAGAAAGUAUUUUGUCUUUUCAGGCAGGAAACCUAGGGAAGGCUUUCCCAGAGAUAUAUUUCCACCAUGUGGCCAGGACAAUAAACAUGAGGCUUUUGAUCUGGGUGGCAAUAGUGGUGGAGCCAGAGUUCUAAAAGGAGAAAAAUGGGAAACAAAUCUGCCAGAGGAAUCAAACAUUCCUCCAAGAAGUCCUGAUUCUUUUUACUGAUGACUGGUAUUUAGAAAC
rnacentral:lncRNA from 1 species